CCUACGGGUGGCUGCAGUGAGGAAUAUUGGUCAAUGGGCGCUAGCCUGAACCAGCCAAGUAGCGUGAAGGAUGACUGCCCUAUGGGUUGUAAACUUCUUUUAUAUGGGAAUAAAGUGCAGUAUGUAUACUGCUUUGCAUGUACCGUAUGAGUAAAGAACGGCUCACUCCGGCCCAUCAGCCGCGGUAAUACUGAGGUACCGAGCGUUAGCCGGAUUUAUUGGGGUUAAAGGGAGCGUAGGCGGGUUGUUAAUUCAGUUGUGAAAGUUUGCGGCUCAACCGUAAAAUUGCAGUUGAUACUGGCAUCCUUGAGUACAGUAGAGGUAGACGGAAUUCGUGGUGUAGCGGUGAAAUGCUUAGAUAUCACGAAGAACUCCGAUUGCGAAGGCAGCCUGCUGGACUGUAACUGACGCUGAUGCUCGAAAGUGUGGGUAUCAAACAGGAUUAGAUACCCGGGUAGUC
rnacentral:rRNA from 1 species